CACUUCCGAUAUUAAUCUUGCAUGGAGAGAACGACAUCGUUACGGAUCCAUCUGUUAGUCGAGCAUUGUACGAUAAAGCAAGCAGCUCGGACAAGAAUAUGAUCAUAUACAAGGAUGCUGGCCAUUCUCUUCUUGAAGGUUUUUGGAUAUCACGGUGU